ACUCUAUAAGUCUAGUGGAAACACUUCUGCACCAACUAGAUUAUGGGUAUCAGUGUGCGGAAAUGCUUCUGCUACAUUUUUAGGG
rnacentral:pre_miRNA from 1 species